rnacentral:rRNA from 1 species
AGUGGAAGCGUCUGGAAAGGCGCGCGAUACAGGGUGACAGCCCCGUACACAAAAGCGCAUGUGCUGUGAGCUCGAUGAGUAGGGCGGGACACGUGGUAUCCUGUCUGAAUAUGGGGGGACCAUCCUCCAAGGCUAAAUACUCCUGACUGACCGAUAGUGAACCAGUACCGUGAGGGAAAGGCGAAAAGAACCCCGGCGAGGGGAGUGAAAAAGAACCUGAAACCGUGUACGUACAAGCAGUGGGAGCCCCACCACUAAGCCAGUGGUGAACUCCACAUCCGCAUCCUUUGCUGAGGAUACGGUUAACGGAGCGAAAGCGACGUUCAACCGCAAAACAAGCAGAGGGGGCUUAGUGGUGGGGUGACUGCGUACCUUUUGUA